rnacentral:rRNA from 1 species
UUUCUCUCUCCCUCAUCCACCUUCUCCACCACCGGCAGCCGCCGCGGCCAGGCCGGCGUGGCGGCGCGCCACCACGCCAUCACCAGCAUCCACCAGCACCGAUCCAUCUCCACGCCGCCGCCAGCACACACCGCCCAUCCAUCCAGCCACCAGCGCCACUGCAUCAUCACCGCGCCUCCACCAUCACCUCGCGCGCCCUACCAGACGCGGUGGUCUGGUGCCUCGCGCCACCUCUCCCUCCAGCCGGCGCGCCUCUCCCUGCCGCUUUCCCAACUUCUUCUUCCCUCUGCUUCUUUCCUCCACUCCUCCAUCUCUUUGCUGCUCCUUUCCUUGCCUCGCCGCUUCUCUUCCUUUCUCUGAACCCUACCGCUGCUGCUCCCUCUUCUCCCUCAACGCCUACAGCUGCUGCUUCUUCCUCAACGUGACGUGCUGCUGCUUCUUCUUCUCCUCUCUCUGCUGCGCCCCUCCUCCUCCUUCUCCAACUGCUGCUCCUCUUCGCCAUGCCCCUGCUUCUGCUUCUUCUUCACGCCCCUGCUGCUCUUCUCUUCUCCGCCUUGCUGCUGCUCCCUCCACUUCUCUUGCUGCUUCUUUUCUGAACCAAAACCCUUGCUGCUGUUCUUCUUCACCAAACUGAACCUACUGCAAUUUCUCUCUCUGUAUCUCUCCCUCUCGCUGUAAUUUCUAUGUAUCAGAGAUGUGUUAGACCUUGUAUUAUUCAGACUUGUGCUUGUUUGGUUGUUCUCUGUUGAUCUGCAAGAAGUAGAACAAUUUAUUGUCACUUUUGUUGAUGUGUAAGAACUAGCUAUAUAUGUCAUAUAUAUUCUAUACUUGCUGAUGAUUGGUGUCCAGUUUAUUGUUCUUGUGAUAUAAAUGCAUAUGUGUGUGUUUUUGACGUGAAGCAUCUAUCUUCUGUCAUAUAAACUUGUUACUUCCCUCUGUACAUGUUUUGUCAUGCUACUUCCCUUUUGUGUUAGUUUCUGUUGUCUCUAGUAAUAAGAAAACACCAAAAAUAUAGUGAAGAUAAUCUGAAUCUCCCUUUCGCUUAUUUUCAUUUUCUUUGUCGUCAACUUUGGUUAGUACUUGUUAGUUUAGGUUUUAUUUUUUUGCAUUCGUCUCUUAAAAUUGUGUUACCUAGAUUUAGCCGAGCAUAGUCGUCGUCGCCUAGUCCCUGUGGGGAACACGACACUCGCAGUUCGGGCGAAAUAUCCCACUGUAUUUAAAAAUGAUCACUCCC